rnacentral:rRNA from 1 species
AAAUGAAUAGACGGGGGCCCGCACAAGCGGAGGAGCAUGUGGCUUAAUUCGAUGCAACGCGAAGAACCUUACCCAGACUCGACUUGCGACUGCACGGCCUAUGAAAGUAGGCCUCCUUCGAGGGUGUCGCACAGGUGCUGCAUGGCUGUCGUCAGUUCGUGCCGUGAGGUGUUCGGUUAAGUCCGUCAACGAACGCAACCCCUGCCGCCAGUUGCCAACGGGUAAUGCCGGGAACUCUGGCGGGACCGCCCCUUCAAACGGGAGGAAGGUGGGGAUGAUGUCAAGUCAGUAUGGCCCUUACGUCUGGGGCCGCACACGUGCUACAAUGGCCGUCACAGAAGGAUGCGAAGCCGCGAGGCCCAGCAAACCCCUUAAAAACGGCCCCAGUUCGGAUUGGAGUCUGCAACCCGACUCCAUGAAGUUGGAUUCGCUAGUAACGGCGCAUCAGCACUCGGCGCCGUGAAUACGUUCCCGGGCCUUGUACACACCGCCCGU